UAUGAGCCUUCCAAAUUUAGUCAAAUUCUUUUUGAAUUUAUCUCAUUAAUGUAAAACUAUGAAAAAAAAAAAAAGAGUAAAUCCUGGCUUGUUUGCACCUAUUUUUUUCCUAAGAAAAUAAUAAAAAUGAUGCCUACAACUAUUUGGGGGUGCCCAUUACGUGCCAAGCAUUUCACAUGCAUCAUAUUUACUCUGAUCCUCACAGUCACCUGCCAUGUGAGUGUGAUUACCACCACUGCUCAGAUAAGAGUCCUUAAGGGAAAGUCACAAGGAGAGCUGCACACGUAGACUGACAGUGGCAAGAGGGAGCUGGGGGCCAAGCCUGUUCUGUUUAACUGCAAAACCUUGGUUUGUUCCACUGCUCUAAGAACUGGACUUCUGAAGGAAAUGGGCAAUUCUUUGUUUUUCUGUGUUUUGAGUAAUGUUUCCUCUUUUUCUCUUCCUGAAUGCUCUUAACUAGAGUCUAAAUUUCAUAUGCAGCUACAGAAAUGCAAGUCUGAAGGAAUGGAAGGAUAAAACCUGUUUAAUUCACAGUUCAGCAAACAAAUACAAUUUGCUUAAAUAAACCCACCAGGAGGGUUGGUGGAAUCAAGUCUCUUAUUAUUUAGGGCUGUAAUUUCAGAAUGUACCUCGGUGAUUUAACAAAGAACACCGAUAUCAAAUAUUACUCUCUAUUUAUUGCAAAUACCAUAGAAAGUUUUUGUUGCUGUUUGCAAUACAUAAUCUCUGUAGCAAAACAUUAUAUCUAGUUUCAGAAAUGCUAACUGCAUUUGGAUGGCAAAACAGGUAAAAUUUUCUGGAGUACUUAAUUGUGUUUCUUACAACCAACUAAAACACUUAAUAUGUAACUUUGGGAAAUAAAGAGUUGUUCCUUUUAAAUGUAGGUAUAUUUUCAAUAAUGUGCAAUACAAGAUGUUUUGGUAUAACUGACUAAAAGGCCUGGGAAUGACUUAAUGGGAAAUGAGGAAAUGGUUAGACCAAACCUAUACCAUUAUAUCUGUUGGAAUUUCCUACAGAUUCAGGCCCCUCUUCAGACUUACUGAUUCAAAAUUUUGAGAGGUAGAGCUACAGACAUGUGCUUUUAGAAAUUUCAUGGGUAAUUUUGAUGUGCUUCCCUGGUUACAAACCCCUGGUCUGGAGCCAGGUGUGUAUCUUUAGUACACUCAGUAGCAACAAUGAAACAUUUUCUUUCCAAUGCUGGCUGCCACUACAAACAGUUAUUCUUCCCUGUCUCUUUUUUCACUGGAAGAAAAAGAAAUUUAUGCAGUGAGGUAAAGAUGGGCAGAUGUUCUCAACAAUGGAUGAGAUAUGGAUCAUCUCAUUCUCAGAGAAAUGUACCUUACUUGUCUGCCAUGAAUACCUGAUGCAGAUGGAGUUUAAUAGACACUUGAAUGCUAGGAAAGGGUUUUGGGAAUGAUAAAUGCAGGGACUUUUUGUGUGUGUGGAGGUACAGAGUCUUGCUCUGUCACUCAGUCUGGAGUGCAGUGGCACGGUCUUGGAUCACUGCAACCUUCCCCUCCCAGGUUCCAGCAAUUCUUGUGGCUCAGCCUCCCAAGUAGCUGGGAUUAUAGGCAUGUGCCAUCAUGCCUGGCUAAUUUUUGAAUUUUUAGUAGAGAUGGGGUUUCACCAUGUUGGCCAGGCUGGUCUUGAACUCCUGACCUCAGGUGAUCUGCCCACCUCAGCCUCCCAAACUGCUGAGAUUACAGAUGUGAGCCACUGCUCCUGGCCUCAGUUUUUACUAACAAAGACCAACAAAUAAACCAAAAUACUUUUUUUUCCCAUUCAAUCAUAUGGUGAAUAGAUGGACACAACAUUGGGAAUCAUGGAGUCCAGCUGCUUUAUUUUACAUUAAGGGAAACUGAGCCCAACUUUGGGAAGUGACUUCUGUGUCACACAGCUUUUUCCUACAGUACAAACCAUUCAAUUCAAUGGCCAACUUCAGAAUGCAAACCAAGCUUUCUAUUCCUUUUUGGAAACUUGCCUCAUUGAAAUUAGAAAGAACACAGAAACAGCUGUUCAACCAUGCCCAGAAAUGAGAUUCCAUUCUUCAAUAAAGCACCAAAACUUUGGCUAAGGAGUGUUAACAGAGAAAAAAGAUCAGCCUGUAACAGAUUCUUCAGCAAAGUUGCCCGUCCUCACAGAGGCUCACAAGAAGUGAAAUAACCAGAGUUAUUUUUCUAUUAGCUUUCCUGUUAUCAAUGUGAAUUGUCCUUCCAGAACAGAUAUUUGAGAGUAGGCUUAGCUGAAUCUUCAUUACAUGCUGUUUUUCUGGAUCUAUUCUCAGAGAGGAGCUUUCCUAUUCUCAAUCUCUCUUCCUUCUCUAGCCCCUAAACAAAAACCUGGAGAAGAGCAUUUGUAUCAGGGUAAAGUUCUGGUAUCAAAUAAUCCAUAUCCUAUCAUUAAUGCCUUGUUGGAUGUUAUGGACUGAAUUGUGUCCCCUCCCCUGUUCCAUUCAUAUGUUGAAGUCCUGGCUCCCAGUACUCAGAAUGUGGCUAUAUUUGGAAAUAAGGUCAUUGAAGAGAUAAUUUUGUUAAAAUGAGGUCAUUGGGGCAGGCCGUAAUCCAAUAUGACUUGUAUCCUUACAAGAAGAGGAAAUCAGGACAAAGACACAUGAAGAGGGAAGACCAUGUGAAAAAACAGGAAGAAGACGGCCGUCUACAAGGCCAGGAGAGACUCCGAAGAAACCUACCCUGCUGACAUGUUGAUCUUGGACCUCUAGCCUCCAGAACUGUACAGAUGCCAACAGAAAUCGAUUGAGGAAGCAUGCAGCGUUCCAGAAAUUCACCAACACCUGAUCAGCUUUUUGCGUGCAAGUUAAAGUGACCUCUUGGGUCAAACCCUAGUUCCCUUUGAUUCUGACAUUUGCAGAGGGGUGCGAAAACCUCUUUGCUUGUUCUGGGUUGUGUGAGCUGCUUUCUCUUUUACCCUUGAUGUACGGUAAGAAAGGAGCAAUCAGAGACAGACAUUUGGUGAGGCUUUAGUUUGUUCCACUUUCACUCUUGUCCCCAACUCCCGCCUCGUCUAUGCUGGGUGUUCACUGUACAAAUUAAAUGUUCAGAUCUGAUACUUUCCAAUUUGUAAACCUGAAUUCAAUCAGACUUUUAUCAUGGGUCAUACAAAGCAGAAAUGCAUGUGUAUCAUGAUUUCUGGAGUUCUAGUGAAUCAAGUGUUAAUUUCACAAGGCUUCAUUGAUUUGAAAUAAAUAAUGGGCAAUUUUCCUUC